rnacentral:rRNA from 1 species
CCUACGGGAGGCAGCAGUGAGGAAUAUUGGUCAAUGGACGAGAGUCUGAACCAGCCAAGUAGCGUGAAGGAUGACUGCCCUAUGGGUUGUAAACUUCUUUUAUAUGGGAAUAAAACGUUCCACGUGUGGGAUUUUGUAUGUACCAUAUGAAUAAGGAUCGGCUAACUCCGUGCCAGCAGCCGCGGUAAUACGGAGGAUCCGAGCGUUAUCCGGAUUUAUUGGGUUUAAAGGGAGCAUAGGUGGAUUGUUAAGUCAGUUGUGAAAGUUUGCGGCUCAACCGUAAAAUUGCAGUUUAAACUAGCAGUCUUGAGUACAGUAGAGGUGGGUGGAAUUCGUGGUGUAGCGGUGAAAUGCUUAGAUAUCACGAAGAACUCCGAUUGCGAAGGCAGUUCACUGGACUGCAACUGACACUGAGGCUCGAAAGUGUGGGUAUCAAACAGGAUUAGAUACCCUAGUAGUC